UCGAUUCCCUUAGUAGCGGCGAGCGAAACGGGAAGAGCCCAAACCAACAAGCUUGCUUGUUGGGGUUGUAGGACACUCUAUACGGAGUUACAAAGGACGACAUUAGACGAAUCAUCUGGAAAGAUGAAUCAAAGAAGGUAAUAAUCCUGUAGUCGAAAAUGUUGUCUCUCUUGAGUGGAUCCUGAGUACGACGGAGCACGUGAAAUUCCGUCGGAAUCUGGGAGGACCAUCUCCUAAGGCUAAAUACUCUCUAGUGACCGAUAGUGAACCAGUACCGUGAGGGAAAGGUGAAAAGCACCCCGGAAGGGGAGUGAAAUAGAACCUGAAACCGUGUGCUUACAAGUAGUCAGAGCCCGUUAAUGGGUGAUGGCGUGCCUUUUGUAGAAUGAACCGGCGAGUUACGA
rnacentral:rRNA from 1 species